AGCUUUGCGCAGUGGCAGUAUGUAGCCAAUGAGGUUUAUCCGAGGCGCAAUUAUUGCUAAUUGAAAGCUAUGGUACUCUGAAAAAGGAAAUCAAAGAGGAUAUUAGAAAAUG
rnacentral:snRNA from 1 species